GGAGAUCACUGCCCUGGCACCCAGCACAAUGAAGAUCAAGGUGGAUCAUUGCUCCUCCUGAGCGCAAGUACUCCGUGUGGAUCGGCGGCUCCAUCCUGGCCUCGCUGUCCACCUUCCAGCAGAUGUGGAUCAGCAAGCAGGAGUAUGACGAGUCCGGCCCCUCCAUCGUCCACCGCAAAUGCUUCUAGGCGGACUAUGACUUAGUUGCGUUACACCCUUUCUUGACAAAACCUAACUUGCGCAGAAAACAAGAUGAGAUUGGCAUGGCUUUAUUUGUUUUUUUUGUUUUGUUUUGGUUUUUUUUUUUUUUUUGGCUUGACUCAGGAUUUAAAAACUGGAACGGUGAAGGUGACAGCAGUCGGUUGGAGCGAGCAUCCCCCAAAGUUCACAAUGUGGCCGAGGACUUUGAUUGCACAUUGUUGUUUUUUUAAUAGUCAUUCCAAAUAUGAGAUGCGUUGUUACAGGAAGUCCCUUGCCAUCCUAAAAGCCACCCCACUUCUCUCUAAGGAGAAUGGCCCAGUCCUCUCCCAAGUCCACACAGGGGAGGUGAUAGCAUUGCUUUCGUGUAAAUUAUGUAAUGCAAAAUUUUUUUAAUCUUCGCCUUAAUACUUUUUUAUUUUGUUUUAUUUUGAAUGAUGAGCCUUCGUGCCCCCCCUUCCCCCUUUUUUGUCCCCCAACUUGAGAUGUAUGAAGGCUUUUGGUCUCCCUGGGAGUGGGUGGAGGCAGCCAGGGCUUACCUGUACACUGACUUGAGACCAGUUGAAUAAAAGUGCA
rnacentral:lncRNA from 1 species